AUUCUCCUUCAGUAGCACAUAUGUUAAGGCUGGAAAAAUCAAGAGAAUAUUGCCAAUGACUCCUGGAAAUGGAUGACACACGAAUCUAUGAAGUGUUGUAGACAUUU
rnacentral:snRNA from 1 species